AACGAACGCUGGCGGCAGGCUUAACACAUGCAAGUCGAACGCCCCGCAAGGGGAGUGGCAGACGGGUGAGUAACGCGUGGGAACAUACCCUUUUCUACGGAAUAGCUCUGGGAAACUGGGAUUAAUACCGUAUACGCCCUACGGGGGAAAGAUUUAUCGGGGAAGGAUUGGCCCGCGUUGGAUUAGCUAGUUGGUGGGGUAAAGGCCUACCAAGGCGACGAUCCAUAGCUGGUCUGAGAGGAUGAUCAGCCACAUUGGGACUGAGACACGGCCCAAACUCCUACGGGAGGCAGCAGUGGGGAAUAUUGGACAAUGGGCGCAAGCCUGAUCCAGCCAUGCCGCGUGAGUGAUGAAGGCCUUAGGGUUGUAAAGCUCUUUCACCGAUGAAGAUAAUGACGGUAGUCGGAGAAGAAGCCCCGGCUAACUUCGUG
rnacentral:rRNA from 1 species